rnacentral:rRNA from 1 species
AUUAAACGCUGGCGGCAGGCCUAACACAUGCAAGUCGAACGAGUGGCGGACGGGUGAGUAAUGUAUGGGAAUCUGCCUGAUGGCGGGGGAUAACUACUGGAAACGGUAGCUAAUACCGCAUACCAUCGGAUGUACCCAUAUGGGAUUAGCUAGUAGGUGGGGUAACGGCUCACCUAGGCGACGAUCCCUAGCUGGUCUGAGAGGAUGAUCAGCCACACUGGAACUGAGCCCCGGCCCAGACUCCUACGGGAGGCAGCAGUGGUGAAUAUUGCACAAUGGGCGCAAGCCUGAUUCAGCCAUGCCGCGUGUAUGAAGAAGGCCUUCGGGUUGUAAAGUACUUUCAGCGGGGAGGCGUUACCCGCAGAAGAAGCACCGGCUAACUCCGUGCCAGCAGCCGCGGUAAUAC